GACGAACGCUGGCGGCGUGCCUAAUACAUGCAAGUCGAGCGGAAUGAUGAAGAAGCUUGCUUCUUCUGAUUUUAGCGGCGGACGGGUGAGUAACACGUGGGCAACCUACCUUGUAGAUUGGGAUAACGUCCGGGAAACCGGGGCUAAUACCGAAUAAUCCAUUUUGCUUCAUGGCGAGAUGUUGAAAGACGGUUUCGGCUGUCACUAUAAGAUGGGCCCGCGGCGCAUUAGCUAGUUGGUAGGGUAAUGGCCUACCAAGGCGACGAUGCGUAGCCGACCUGAGAGGGUGAUCGGCCACACUGGGACUGAGACACGGCCCAGACUCCUACGGGAGGCAGCAGUAGGGAAUCUUCCGCAAUGGACGAAAGUCUGACGGAGCAACGCCGCGUGAGUGAAGAAGGUUUUCGGAUCGUAAAACUCUGUUGUAAGGGAAGAACACGUACGAGAGUAACUGCUCGUACCUUGACGGUACCUUAUUAGAAAGCCACGGCUAACUACGUG
rnacentral:rRNA from 1 species